UCUCCUGGUGAGCUCCAGCCCUCUCCGUCCCAAGGCCAAGUUUGCUUGUCUAGGCAACAGGGCGGCAGCCAACUUGAGGCAAAGAUCACAGGGAGGAUCAAAUAUUAACUUCAAGUCGGCCCGCGCUGAGGGCUCCUGGCACUGAGCGCUCAGGGAUCCGCAGCUGUGCACACAUCUGUGUUCCUGUGGAAAGACCUUCCAAGUGUCCCCAGCAGACCCAGAUCCCUUCCUAAACGGUGGACUCACCUGGCUUCUGAUGACAAAUUGAAAUUAACACAGCGUGAUCACAAUUCAGGCAUGCAAAAAUGGAGUCCGAUUAAAAAAAGAAAAUGGAGUCCCGUAGCAGUUGAGGAUCUGGUUUCAGACACAUCUCUGCAUCACUGAAAACCUGAACUUUCUUUGAGCUCUACCAGAUCCAUGGACAUCACCAGAGUACUCAGAACAACACUUGCCAGCUGCAAACCUUAUGGUCUCAAGGUCUCCCCUUGAAAUUAUUUAACCAUUUCGGACCCCAACCAAUCCUUAUUAAA